rnacentral:lncRNA from 1 species
AGGGUGGGGGCGAAGGGGAAGCUACGUCCCGGAGGUGCGGUGUGGGGCACCGGGCGGGGCCGCGGGAACCGGCGCCCCACGGAGCUGCUGCUGUCAGACCAACCCCGGGCCCCCAUCAUCACUGCGCCGCGCUUUCAGGCGCCGAGAACUACCGUUCCCGGCAUGCCAUGAAAUUGGCCUCGGCGCUGAGGCGGGGUCCGGCCCUCCACCCGCUCCCGCCGCGCGCGAAUCGCGGUCGCGAGCCAUGGAGGAGGAGGCAUCGUCCCCGGGGCUGGGCUGCAGCAAGCCGCACCUGGAGAAGCUGACCCUGGGCAUCACGCGCAUCCUAGAAUCUUCCCCAGGUGUGACUGAGGUGACCAUCAUAGAAAAGCCUCCUGCUGAACGUCAUAUGAUUUCUUCCUGGGAACAAGUAAGUGUUGCCACAUGAACUCUACCUCCCAUCAAAGAGAGGUCAGUGUAAAUGUCCCUGAGAAGGAAAGAUUAGGGGAGGAAGAAUAUUUACUCAGACCACAGCUGCUUUCAAGGUAGAGUUUACCUUUUCUAUGUUCCUGUUCAGCCCACUUAACAGUUCCUUUCAUUCUAUGCCACUUACCCAGCAUGGAGUGUUUCCCCUGAGCCCCACUCUCCUACAGAAGCAGUGGACAUUCAAAGUUGUGUACAACAAAGCUAAAAAUCAAUUAAGGAAAAGAAAGGAUAUGUGUUAAUAAGUGUCAUGCUGUCCAGAACAUGAUUAAGUGUUGCACAUAACUACUAAGCAGAUUAAAAGCUAAUGCUUUCCAACUUUCCUCUG